CGAAGACUGGCCCGGCUCCCUGCUGAGGCUGGGUGGCAGGGACCCUGUUCCCAGUAGAGCCAGGACUGUCACUGGGGUUGGCUGGCUGUAGGCAAAGGGUAGGCAAAACCUGAGCUCAAAACCCAGCCCUG